AAAGUAUACCAUCUUUUAUAAUUUACAAAAAUGAAUACAUGAAACAUAAAAAUGACAGUGAACGCAGUACGAGGUACAGUUUUGUUAGUUUGAUCAAGUCGGGAGUUUGAGAUUUGUCAAAUAGGAACGCCAAGACAUUAAAGCAAACACUGUUCAAGGAUCUUAUAACUACCGAAUUAUUAGUGACUCCGGUCGCAUUUA